AUUGAACGCUGGCGGCACGCUUAACACAUGCAAGUCGAGCGGUAACAUGGGUAGUAGCAAUACUAUCUGAUGACGAGCGGCGGACGGGUGAGUAACACGUAGGAACUUGCCCAGUAGAGGGGGACAACCAAGGGAAACUUUGGCUAAUACCGCAUAUACUCGAGAGAGGAAAGCUGCCAGCAAUGGUGGCGCUAUUGGAGAGGCCUGCGUCCGAUUAGCUAGUUGGUGAGGUAAUAGCUUACCAAGGCGAGGAUCGGUAACUGGUCUGAGAGGACGACAAGUAACACGGGGACUGAGACACGGCCCAGACUCCUACGGGAGGCAGCAGUGGGGAAUCUUGGACAAUGGGAGCAACCCUGAUCCAGCGAUGCCGCGUGAGUGAAGAAGGCCUUCGGGUCGUAAAGCUCUUUAGGCUGUGAAGAAGGUUAGUAGUUUAAGAGAUAACUAGCUUGACUGUACCAGCAGAAUAAGCACCGGCAAACUCUGUGCCAGCCGCCGCAGUAA
rnacentral:rRNA from 1 species